AGGGACUCUCCCCCAAUGGACAAAAGUCUUUUGGAGCAACGCCGCUGGCGUGUUGAAGGUUUUCGGCUCGUAAAACUCUGUUUUAGGGGAAAAACCAUUCCGUCAGGAAAUGACGUUCCCUUUACGUUACCUUAUUAAAACGCCACGGUAACCUACGUUCCAGCAGCCGCGGUAAUACGUAGGUGGCAAGCGUUGUCCGGAAUUAUUGGGCGUAAAGCGCGCGCAGGUGGUUUCUUAAGUCUGAUGUGAAAGCCCACGGCUUAACCGUGGAGGGUCAUUGGAAACUGGGAGACUUGAGUGCAGAAGAGGAAAGUGGAAUUCCAAGUGUAGCGGUGAAAUGCGUAGAGAUUUGGAGGAACACCAGUGGCGAAGGCGACUUUCUGGUCUGCAACUGACGCUGAGGCGCGAAAGCAUGGGGAGCAAACA
rnacentral:rRNA from 1 species